CCCUCCGACCGCGCCGCCGCCUCAGCGGACUCCCUCUGGCCGCGCCUCGGCCUCAGCGGACUCCCUCCGGCCGCGCUGUCACCUCUGCGGACUCCCUCCGGCCGCGCCUCGGCCUCUGCGGACUCCCUCCGGCUACACGGCCGCUUCUGUGGACUCCUUAGGGCCAUGGCGCGGCUUCUGCUGACUCCCUCCGACCCUGCCGCUGCUCCCACCAGAUCCUCGCAGGAAGCAGAGUCUCGCCUUCCUUCCGUAGGGGAACCCAGCCGGCUGCAUCCCUCGACUCAAACUGAAGCACUACCACCCCCUUAAAGGUACCGCAGCUCUGCCUGCCCAGCUGGAUGAGACCAAGUCUUAGGCUAACCAAUCAGAACAUACAAAUGAAGCCCAAUGAGAGUAGACCUUGAAGUUUGCUCUCAUCCAAUCAGAACAUGUAGUCUAGGCAUGCCUUAUAUAAAGGACGGCAAGAGGGUGUCUCGCCAUUUUGGGACUCAGAAUUCUGCCUACGUGGGCCUUCCUGCUUCCAGCUGACUUAGAGGAGAAGGAGGAGUGGCCGCCCGCUGCCCAUGCUGGAGGCUGGAGGCUGGAGCCUGCAGCAUCGGGUCGCCUAGCUGUUGCGGUUGGUGGCGGUGACGGAGACUACAGCACAGCUGGAAAGGCUUUUGUGGCUUUGCCCGCCCAGCUGCUCCAUGCCAGGAGAAGGAAGAGCCAUCUGCUGCAUGCUGGAGGCAGGAGCCUGUGGCACCAUGGCUCGCCUCGCUGCAGUGGGUGGCAGUGAUGGAGACUGCAGAGCGCCGGAGAGUGGAAUAAUUUGGAAA